AGUCGAGUUUCCAUACGAUCAUCGAAGUUAAGCAAUAUCGAGCCUGGUCAGUAUGUAGAUGGGUGACCGCUAGGGAAUACUAGGUGCUGUAAG